rnacentral:rRNA from 1 species
CCCUUCCGUAGGGGUAACCUGCGGAAGGAUCAUUACAGAGUUCAUGCCCGAAAGGGUAGACCUCCCACCCUUGUGUAUUAUUACUUUGUUGCUUUGGCGAGCUGCCUUCGGGCCUUGUAUGCUCGCCAGAGAAUACCAAAACUCUUUUUAUUAAUGUCGUCUGAGUACUAUAUAAUAGUUAAAACUUUCAACAACGGAUCUCUUGGUUCUGGCAUCGAUGAAGAACGCAGCGAAAUGCGAUAAGUAAUGUGAAUUGCAGAAUUCAGUGAAUCAUCGAAUCUUUGAACGCACAUUGCGCCCCUUGGUAUUCCGGGGGGCAUGCCUGUUCGAGCGUCAUUUCAACCCUCAAGCUUAGCUUGGUAUUGAGUCUAUGUCAGUAAUGGCAGGCUCUAAAAUCAGUGGCGGCGCCGCUGGGUCCUGAACGUAGUAAUAUCUCUCGUUACAGGUUCUCGGUGUGCUUCUGCCAAAACCCAAAUUUUUCUAUGGUUGACCUCGGAUCAGGUAGGGAUACCCACCAAACUUAAGCAUAUCAAUAAGGCGGGAGGAAAAGACCAAACAGAGA